rnacentral:rRNA from 1 species
UACGGCGGGUGCAAGCGUUGCUCGGAAUUAUUGGGCGUAAAGGGUAGGUAGGUGGUCUUAUUUGUCUGAGGUGAAAGCCUUGAGCUUAACUCAAGAAGUGCCUCAGAAACGGUAAGACUAGAGUCCUGGAGAGGGUCGUGGAAUUCCUGGUGUAGCGGUGGAAUGCGCAGAUAUCAGGAGGAACACCAAUAGCGAAGGCAGCUCGCUGGGACGUUACUGACACUGAGGCGCGAAAGCGUGGGGAGCGAACAGG